UAAGCGACUAAGCGUACACGGUGGAUGCCUAGGCAGUCAGAGGCGAUGAAGGGCGUGCUAAUCUGCGAAAAGCGUCGGUAAGCUGAUAUGAAGCGUAAUAACCGACGAUACCCGAAUGGGGAAACCCAGUGCAAUUCGUUGCACUAUUGCAUGGUGAAUACAUAGCCAUGCAAGGCGAACCGGGGGAACUGAAACAUCUAAGUACCCCGAGGAAAAGAAAUCAACCGAGAUUCCCCCAGUAGCGGCGAGCGAACGGGGAAGAGCCCAGAGUCUGAAUCAGUUUGUGUGUUAGUGGAAGCGUCUGGAAAGUCGCACGGUACAGGGUGAUAGUCCCGUACACAAAAACACACUGGCUGUGAACUCGAUGAGUAGGGCGGGACACGUGACAUCCUGUCUGAAUAUGGGGGGACCAUCCUCCAAGGCUAAAUACUCCUGACUGACCGAUAGUGAACCAGUACCGUGAGGGAAAGGCGAAAAGAACCCCGGCGAGGGGAGUGAAAUAGAACCUGAAACCGUGUACGUACAAGCAGUGGGAGCCCCACCACCAAAGCAUUCUCUGGUGUUAAAGGCCAUGCUGAAGCUCAAUCACGCGUUGGCGGAGCGUCCUUUGCGACGCCCAACACAAAAAACAAGCGGUGAGUGCUUUGGGGUGGGGUGACUGCGUACCUUUUGUAUAAUGGGUCAGCGACUUAUAUUUUGUAGCAAGGUUAACCGAAUAGGGGAGCCGUAGGGAAACCGAGUCUUAACUGGGCGUCUAGUUGCAAGGUAUAGACCCGAAACCCGGUGAUCUAGCCAUGGGCAGGUUGAAGGUUGGGUAACACUAACUGGAGGACCGAACCGACUAAUGUUGAAAAAUUAGCGGAUGACUUGUGGCUGGGGGUGAAAGGCCAAUCAAACCGGGAGAUAGCUGGUUCUCCCCGAAAGCUAUUUAGGUAGCGCCUCGUGAACUCAUCUUCGGGGGUAGAGCACUGUUUCGGCUAGGGGUCCAUCCCGGAUUACCAAACCGAUGCAAACUCCGAAUACCGAAGAAUGUUAUCACGGGAGACACACGGCGGGUGCUAACGUCCGUCGUGAAGAGGGAAACAACCCAGACCGCCAGCUAAGGUCCCAAAGUCAUGGUUAAGUGGGAAACGAUGUGGGAAGGCAUAGACAGCCAGGAUGUUGGCUUAGAAGCAGCCAUCAUUUAAAGAAAGCGUAAUAGCUCACUGGUCGAGUCGGCCUGCGCGGAAGAUGUAACGGGGCUAAACCAUGCACCGAAGCUGCGGCAGCGACGCUUAGGCGUUGUUGGGUAGGGGAGCGUUCUGUAAGCCGUUGAAGGUGGCCUGUGAGGGCUGCUGGAGGUAUCAGAAGUGCGAAUGCUGACAUAAGUAACGAUAAUGCGGGUGAAAAACCCGCACGCCGGAAGACCAAGGGUUCCUGUCCAACGUUAAUCGGGGCAGGGUGAGUCGACCCCUAAGGCGAGGCUGAAAAGCGUAGUCGAUGGGAAACAGGUUAAUAUUCCUGUACUGGGUGUGACUGCGAAGGGGGGACGGAGAAGGCUAGGCUAGCCGGGCGACGGUUGUCCCGGUUUAAGCAUGUAGGCGGAGUGACUUGGUAAAUCCGGUUGCUUAUCAACGCUGAGGUGUGAUGACGAGCCACUACGGUGGUGAAGUAGUUGAUGCCAAGCUUCCAGGAAAAGCCUCUAAGCAUCAGGUGACAUUCAAUCGUACCCCAAACCGACACAGGUGGUCAGGUAGAGAAUACUCAGGCGCUUGAGAGAACUCGGGUGAAGGAACUAGGCAAAAUGGUGCCGUAACUUCGGGAGAAGGCACGCUGGCAUUAGGUAAAGAGACUUGCUCUCGGCGCCGAAGCCAGUCGCAGAUACCAGCUGGCUGCAACUGUUUAAUAAAAACACAGCACUGUGCAAACACGAAAGUGGACGUAUACGGUGUGACGCCUGCCCGGUGCUGGAAGGUUAAUUGAUGGGGUCAGCCGCAAGGCGAAGCUCUUGAUCGAAGCCCCAGUAAACGGCGGCCGUAACUAUAACGGUCCUAAGGUAGCGAAAUUCCUUGUCGGGUAAGUUCCGACCUGCACGAAUGGCGUAAUGAUGGCCAGGCUGUCUCCACCCGAGACUCAGUGAAAUUGAACUCGCUGUGAAGAUGCAGUGUACCCGCGGCAAGACGGAAAGACCCCGUGAACCUUUACUAUAGCUUGACACUGAAUAUUGAGCCUUGAUGUGUAGGAUAGGUGGGAGGCAUCGAAGCGUGGACGCCAGUCUGCGUGGAGCCAACCUUGAAAUACCACCCUUUAAUGUUUGAUGUUCUAACUCGGCCCCAUAAUCUGGGGUGAGGACAGUGUCUGGUGGGUAGUUUGACUGGGGCGGUCUCCUCCCAAAGAGUAACGGAGGAGCACGAAGGUUAGCUAAUCACGGUCGGACAUCGUGAGGUUAGUGCAAAGGCAUAAGCUAGCUUGACUGCGAGAGUGACGGCUCGAGCAGGUACGAAAGUAGGUCUUAGUGAUCCGGUGGUUCUGAAUGGAAGGGCCAUCGCUCAACGGAUAAAAGGUACUCCGGGGAUAACAGGCUGAUACCGCCCAAGAGUUCAUAUCGACGGCGGUGUUUGGCACCUCGAUGUCGGCUCAUCACAUCCUGGGGCUGAAGUAGGUCCCAAGGGUAUGGCUGUUCGCCAUUUAAAGUGGUACGCGAGCUGGGUUUAGAACGUCGUGAGACAGUUCGGUCCCUAUCUGCCGUGGGCGUUGGAAGAUUGAGAGGGGCUGCUCCUAGUACGAGAGGACCGGAGUGGACGCAUCACUGGUGUUCGGGUUGUCAUGCCAAUGGCAUUGCCCGGUAGCUAAAUGCGGAAAAGAUAAGCGCUGAAAGCAUCUAAGCGCGAAACUUGCCUCGAGAUGAGUCUUCCCUGGGGCUUUAAGCCCCCUGAAGGAACGUUAAAGACUAUGACGUUGAUAGGCUGGGUGUGUAAGUGCAGCGAUGCAUUGAGCUAACCAGUACUAAUGAUCCGUGAGGCUUAACCU
rnacentral:rRNA from 1 species